GAUGAACGCUAGCGGUAUGCCUAAUACAUGCAAGUCGAACGGGAACUGAGGGUAGCUUGCUACCCGAUUUGAGAGCGGCGCACGGGUGCGUAACGCGUGAGCAACCUACCCAUAUCAGGGGGAUAGCCCGAAGAAAUUCGGAUUAACACCGCAUAAUAAUAAGCUAACACAUGUACAUGUAUUUAAAUAUUUAUAGGAUAUGGAUAGGCUCGGGUGACAUUAGCUAGGUGGUAAGGUAACGGCUUACCAAGGCGACGAUGUAUAGGGGGACUGAGAGGGGAGUACACAGCACUGGUACUGGGAGACGGACCAGACUCGUACGGGAGGCAGCAGUAGGGAAUAUUGGUCAAUGGGCGCAAGUCUGACCCAGCCAUGCCGCGUGAGGGAUGACUGUCCUAUGGGUUGUAAACUGCAUUUGUAGGGGAAUAAUCCUUCUUACGUGUAAGGAGCUGAAUGUACCUUAAGAAUAAGGAUCGGCUAACUCCGUGCCAGCAGCCGCCGUAA
rnacentral:rRNA from 1 species